rnacentral:rRNA from 1 species
GAUGAACGCUGGCGGCGUGCCUAAUACAUGCAAGUCGAGCGAACGGACGAGAAUCUUGCUUCUCUGAUGUUAGCGGCGGACGGGUGAGUAACACGUGGAUAACCUACCUAUCAGACUGGGAUAACUACGGGAAACCGGAGCUAAUACCGGAUAAUAUUUUGAACCGCGUGGUUCAAAAGUGAAAGACGGUCUUGCUGUCACUUAUAGAUGGAUCCGCGCUGCAUUAGCUAGUUGGUAAGGUAACGGCUUACCAAGGCAACUAUGCAUAGCCGACCUGAGAGGGUGAUCGACCACCCGGGAGCUGAGACACGGUCCAUACUCCUACGGGAGGCAGCAGUAGGGAAUCUUCCGCAAUGGGCGAAGGCCUAACGGAGCAACGCCGCGUGAGUGAUGAAGAUCUUCGGAUCGUAAAACUCUGUUAUUAGGGAAGAACAUAUGUGUACGUAACUGUGCAGAUAUUGACGGUACCUAAUCAAAAAGCCACGGCUAACUACGUG